UACGUAGGGUGCGAGCGCUAAUCGGAAUUACUGGGCGUAAAGCGUGCGCAGGCGGUUUUGUAAGCCAGAUGUGAAAUCCCCGGGCUUAACCUGGGAAUGGCAUUUGGGACUGCAAGGCUGGAGUGUGGCAGAGGAGACUGGAAUUCCUGGUGUAGCAGUGAAAUGCGUAGAUAUCAGGAGGAAUACCGAUGGCGAAGGCAGGUCUCUGGGCUGACACUGACGCUCAUGCACGAAAGCGUGGGGAGCAAACAGG
rnacentral:rRNA from 1 species